GACGGAGGAUGCAAGCGUUAUCCGGAAUGAUUGGGCGUAAAGCGUCCGCAGGUGGCAGUUCAAGUCUGCUGUCAAAGUGCAGAGCUUAACUCUGUAAAGGCGGUGGAAACUGUAGGUCUUGAGUAUGGUAGGGGUAGAGGGAAUUCCCGGUGUAGCGGUGAAAUGCGUAGAUAUCGGGAAGAACACCAGUGGCGAAGGCGCUCUACUGGGCCAUAACUGACACUGAGGGACGAAAGCUAGGGGAGCGAAAGGG
rnacentral:rRNA from 1 species